ACAAGAAACUUGAGAGUAACUUAACUUUUUUGUUGUUGUAAACAGCAGAACUCAUCACACGGAGGGAGGAAACUCAUCACACAGAGAGCCAUGAGGACAUCCAUUACCCACAUGGCACAGCGGAUGGACACAUUUGAGGAAAAGAUGGAUGAGCUGCUCAUGCUCUUAAGGAGCUCCCAGUCACCUCCCUCUGCUCCAGUCAAUGACAUGUUGCUGUCGCCCUGCUCGACAGUCACUGAGCUGCAGGAGUUAGACAGGAGUCUCGGUCAACAGGAGAGGAGGAACAAAAUGCAACUUUUCCUGACAACGCUUGGAGGUCCGACCACAGGUACUGCAGUCCAACGCAUGCUAUGGCGAGUGGCAACUAAUAA